GUCCGCAAGUACGACUCACCAUUGUCGGAACGACGAGGACGACAAACGCCCCGGAGCACCACGCGCGCCAGCAUCACCGCACGCAGAUCUACGCGCGAUCCCCGCGCACGACCUACGACACCACGCAAGAUCGACGUCUCCAGAACACAACUCGCGAAGACAACAAGAAGCCAUCACGUCGUGUCCGACUACACUCCACAUAUCUUCCUCAGCCUACGUUCACCUUCGACGUCGACGACCAUCUUAUCAGCUCCUCGGACAACCUGGAGAGAUCUCCCGCUCCGUCCACCUGGCAGAAGACUCAGCCCACGCCACGAAGAACGUGAUACAACACUAACCCCUUCAUCAAUAAUUAAUUAGUAAACAAUUUCUCGUUUCAACAAAGGAUUAAUACCGGAGAGCCCAAACCCCCUGGGGGGACGCACAAUUAAUUAACUACGAGGGAACCCAAGACGGUCCAGCGCAACAGCCGAGGUGGAGGCGUUGGGCACGGAAGUGACAUAUCUUGUCUUAAUCUUGCGCUCAGUUGUGUGGCUAUCGCAGUGGUCUGAAGAGCACGAAGAUGCCUGGGUUCAGGGGGGCCAUUUGGUACCUACCGAGUCAAUGCCCUGACCGUACAGUAUGGACUGUGGCCUAUAUACAGACGUUUUGGCAUGAUCACAUCAGCAGCUGGGCCAGCCAUUGUACGGCGAGACACCUGCUUGGCAUUUACCAUGGCCUUUACAUCUCUAUGACGUAUACCAGGGCCGAGAGCUGUUUUCUAUAGAUGCUGCGCGAGUAGGAUGUUAAUGAGAGUGUUGUUCAGGAACAUGGAUAGUGCAGUCUGCCUUACUGGACGAAUCCAAACCUCGUAUUGGCAAAUAUUGGGAAUCUAUGCAAGCGCUAUGCAGCCGAAUCGGAUGACACAAUUUGACAGGUAACACAGAGUAUAUGGCAAGGCAUGUACCCAGGGCUAUCCUUUUCUGUCGCCAUUGCCGAGCCACCGUGCUCACAGUAGAGACUUCUGUGUGUGUUAUUGUUGUGAAGUGGACCACAAAGACGGUACGCUUUCCAACGGCCAAAGAGAGUUGGAAAGCUUGUGUCUUUGUGGGUAACCUGAACAUUUGGGCUCAUGCAAAACCGCACCGAUUUUGGGAUUUCCCCACAACUUUUUGCGUCCGCAAAUAUGUUGUGCUGGACCGCAUUCCUGUCACUUCGCAGUGGCUUUUCGUUGGUGCAGUUUG